rnacentral:rRNA from 2 species
CGCGUUGGCCCAAUUGAUUGAUGGUGCUUGCACCUGAUUGAUUUUGGUCGCCAACGAGUGGCGGACGGGUGAGUAACACGUAGGUAACCUGCCCAGAAGCGGGGGACAACAUUUGGAAACAGAUGCUAAUACCGCAUAACAACGUUGUUCGCAUGAACAACGCUUAAAAGAUGGCUUCUCGCUAUCACUUCUGGAUGGACCUGCGGUGCAUUAGCUUGUUGGUGGGGUAACGGCCUACCAAGGCGAUGAUGCAUAGCCGAGUUGAGAGACUGAUCGGCCACAAUGGGACUGAGACACGGCCCAUACUCCUACGGGAGGCAGCAGUAGGGAAUCUUCCACAAUGGGCGCAAGCCUGAUGGAGCAACACCGCGUGAGUGAAGAAGGGUUUCGGCUCGUAAAGCUCUGUUGUUAAAGAAGAACACGUAUGAGAGUAACUGUUCAUACGUUGACGGUAUUUAACCAGAAAGUCACGGCUAACUACGUGCCAGCAGCCGCGGUAAUACGUAGGUGGCAAGCGUUAUCCGGAUUUAUUGGGCGUAAAGAGAGUGCAGGCGGUUUUCUAAGUCUGAUGUGAAAGCCUUCGGCUUAACCGGAGAAGUGCAUCGGAAACUGGAUAACUUGAGUGCAGAAGAGGGUAGUGGAACUCCAUGUGUAGCGGUGGAAUGCGUAGAUAUAUGGAAGAACACCAGUGGCGAAGGCGGCUACCUGGUCUGCAACUGACGCUGAGACUCGAAAGCAUGGGUAGCGAACAGGAUUAGAUACCCUGGUAGUCCAUGCCGUAAACGAUGAGUGCUAGGUGUUGG